GGUCUCUUGAGUUUUCAGUCAAUUAUUGGCCAGGGCUGCAGAUCUGAAAGCUUGACUGGGGACAGAAAAAGUGAGGAUCGACUUUCAAGUUCGCUCACUUGGUUGUUGUCAGGCUUCAGUUAUUUGCCAGUUGUUGGCUGGAAACCUGUUCCUCAUCACACAGAGCUCUUCACAAGCUGCCUGAGUUUUCUUACAACAUGGAAGCUAAAUUUUUCAAGAGUCACCAGCACCAGGGGAGCAAACAAAUGCCUGUCUGAUUUCAUACGAAGAGACACUUCAUGUUGCAGCUGCUGAGCAGUGCCUUCAGCUGACCUACCCAUUGAAGUCUGCUGUCUUGGCUCUCAGGUAAAGUCCAUGAAUUAUCUAGUAGAGGUGAUGCAUUUGCUGAAUCCACACUCCCCAUGCUGCCUUCCUUUUUCCAAUGACCAACCCACACUGCAAAAUAGAAAGUGAGGGCUAUGAGAUGCAGACUGGAUAUGGAAGGAAGGUUUUCAGCACCAGCUCUUUUGUGGGCCUAGAGUGAGGAUACGCAUCUCCACUCUAUGUUUUUAAUUUCUUUUAUAUCUACAUAUGCUAUUUCUUAUCUGCUACCACUUCCCAUCCCUACUAUCAAAGUCUUGUACAUUCAAAUUAUCAUAAAGUCAUCUCUUCUGUGAAAACCCCGAUCUCUGCUUUGCUAUCAUCUCAUUUCUUUUUUGAAUUCCUAUAGUGGUACUAGUUUAAGGGAAUUUGUUGGCUCUAUAUCUACAGCAGAUGUACAGGAAUAGAGAGAGAUUUUUGGAAUGACAGCAGUACUAAUGCUGCCAUAAGCUUCAUUCUGCAUCCAUUAUUAUUAUUGCUUUCAUUGUGGGUAGUAUUAAUUCUUCCAUGCCAGUUCUUUUUGAGAGGAAGAAAUUGAAGCUAACAAAAGAAACUUGGCUUAUAUUUUUUCAGCUUCACCAUCAGAGAAAAAUGGACUCUCUUUCCUUGAUUCCAGGAAGGACUUGGUAUACUGGCUUGGGUUGUUUGUGAGCCACGUGACUAUGGGGUGAGGGUGGUGAUCGGCAGUCUCAAACAUAAGACGGGAAGGAGCACUUAAGGAACCUUGAUGUUUUUCCUGAAAAAGAUAGAUCUAUACACAUCAAACCUAGGUAAAUUGACUACAGGGCUAAAUUGAGUAGCAAUGUAGUGACUAGAAAAUUAUAUAAUAUUUUAUAUCACCUUAUUAUAUUAACACUUCCAUAUCUGAUUGUGUUAUGUUACAAACAUAAGGAGAGUACAUUAGGAAAAAGGAGAUAUGAGAACUUGUGUAAUUUAGUAAUUUAUCCUUGUAUCUCAAGCCCCAGAACCAAACAUGAUAACUUAUAUUUUUUAUUUAAUAAGUUAAUAUACAUAUUACAUAUCUAAACUUUUAAAUUAUUUAUGCAUCACAUAGUGAAUAAAAUGAGCCACCUAAUUUCAUCAGAAAUUAACUACUUAAUUCAGUCAUGCAUCACAAACAAUGGAGAUAUGUUCUGAGAAAUGCAUGUUUAGGUGAUUUCUUCAUUGUGUGAACAUCACAGAAGAUACUUACACAAACCUAGAUGGUAUGGCUUAUGAUAUGAUUUGGCUGUGUCUCCACCCAAAUCUCAUCUUGAAUUGUAGCUCCCAUAAUUCCUCUGUGUCAUGGGAGGGACGUGGUGGAAUGUAAUUGAAUCACGGGGGCAGGUCUUUCUUGUGCUGUUCUAAUGAUAGUGAAUAAGUCUCACAAAAUCUGAUGGUUUUAUAAAGGGGAGUUUUGCUACAGAAGCUUUCAUGCCAGCUGCUAUGUAAUAUGAGAUUUUGCUCCUCAUUUGCUUUCAUCCAUUAUUGUGACGCCUCUCCAUCCAUGUGGACUCACAAGUCCAUUAAACCUCUUUCCUUUAUAAAUUACCCAGUCAUGAGUAUGUCUUUAUUAGCAGCAUAAGAACACACUGAUACAGCCUCCUAUACACCUAGGCUAAAUGGUAUGGUUAGCCUAUUGUUCCUGGGGUACAAAUCUAUACAGCAUGUUACUGUACUGAAUACUGUGGCCAAUUAUAACACAAUGAGAAGUAUUUGUAUACCUAAACAUAGAAAAAGCACCAUCAAAAUAUGGUAUAAAAGAUAAAAAAUGGUACCCCUGUAUAGGGUAGUUACCAUGAGUAGAACUUGUAGGAACAGGUACUGCAAGUGGCUUCUGC
ensembl:lncRNA